rnacentral:rRNA from 1 species
CACGGAUCCAGAGUUUGAUCAUGGCUCAGAUUGAACGCUGGCGGCAGGCCUAACACAUGCAAGUCGAGCGGAAACGAGUUAUCUGAACCCUCGGGGGACGAUAACGGCGUCGAGCGGCGGACGGGUGAGUAAUGCCUAGGAAAUUGCCCUGAUGUGGGGGAUAACCAUUGGAAACGAUGGCUAAUACCGCAUGAUGCCUACGGGCCAAAGAGGGGGACCUUCGGGCCUCUCGCGUCAGGAUAUGCCUAGGUGGGAUUAGCUAGUUGGUGAGGUAAGGGCUCACCAAGGCGACGAUCCCUAGCUGGUCUGAGAGGAUGAUCAGCCACACUGGAACUGAGACACGGUCCAGACUCCUACGGGAGGCAGCAGUGGGGAAUAUUGCACAAUGGGCGCAAGCCUGAUGCAGCCAUGCUGCGUGUAUGAAGAAGGCCUUCGGGUUGUAAAGUACUUUCAAUCGUGAGGAAGGUAGUGUAGUUAAUAGCUGCAUUAUUUGACGUUAGCGACAGAAGAAGCACCGGCUAACUCCGUGCCAGCAGCCGCGGUAAUACGGAGGGUGCGAGCGUUAAUCGGAAUUACUGGGCGUAAAGCGCAUGCAGGGGGUUUGUUAAGUCAGAUGUGAAAGCCCGGGGCUCAACCUCGGAAUAGCAUUUGAAACUGGCAGACUAGAGUACUGUAGAGGGGGGUAGAAUUUCAGGUGUAGCGGUGAAAUGCGUAGAGAUCUGAAGGAAUACCGGUGGCGAAGGCGGCCCCCUGGACAGAUACUGACACUCAGAUGCGAAAGCGUGGGGAGCAAACAGGAUUAAAUACCCUGGUAGUCCACGCCGUAAACGAUGUCUACUUGGAGGUUGUGCCCUUGAGCCGUGGCUUUCGGAGCUAACGCGUUAAGUAGACCGCCUGGGGGGUACGGUCGCAAGAUUAAAACACAAAUGAAUUGACGGGGGCCCGCACAAGCGGUGGAGCAUGUGGUUUAAUUCGAUGCAACGCGAAGAACCUUACCUACUCUUGACAUCCAGAGAACUUUCCAGAGAUGGAUUGGUGCCUUCGGGAACUCUGAGACAGGUCGUGCAUGGCUGUCGUCAGCCCGAGUUGUGAAAUGUUGGGUUAAAUCCCGCAACGAGCGCAACCCUUAUCCUUGUUUGCCAGCGAGUAAUGUCGGGAACUCCAGGGAGACUGCCGGUGAUAAACCGGAGGAAGGUGGGGACGACGUCAAGUCAUCAUGGCCCUUACGAGUAGGGCUACACA